GGACCCGUAGCAUAAUUGGAUAGUGCACCUGACUACGGAUCAGGAGGUUGUGGGUUCGAGUCCCGCCGGGUUCG
rnacentral:tRNA from 1 species